AAUAGAUACCCUGGUAGUCCACGCCGUAAACGAUGAGUGCUAAGUGUUAGGGGGUUUCCGCCCCUUAGUGCUGCAGCUAACGCAUUAAGCACUCCGCCUGGGGAGUACGGUCGCAAGACUGAAACUCAAAGGAAUUGACGGGGGCCCGCACAAGCGGUGGAGCAUGUGGUUUAAUUCGAAGCAACGCGAAGAACCUUACCAGGUCUUGACAUCCCGUUGACCACUGUAGAGAUAUAGUUUCCCCUUCGGGGGCAACGGUGACAGGUGGUGCAUGGUUGUCGUCAGCUCGUGUCGUGAGAUGUUGGGUUAAGUCCCGCAACGAGCGCAACCCUUGAUCUUAGUUGCCAUCAUUUAGUUGGGCACUCUAAGGUGACUGCCGGUGACAAACCGGAGGAAGGUGGGGAUGACGUCAAAUCAUCAUGCCCCUUAUGACCUGGGCUACACACGUGCUACAAUGGACGAUACAAACGGUUGCCAACUCGCGAGAGGGAGCUAAUCCGAUAAAGUCGUUCUCAGUUCGGAUUGUAGG
rnacentral:rRNA from 1 species